rnacentral:rRNA from 1 species
UUGAACGCUGGCGGCAGGCCUAACACAUGCAAGUCGAGCGGUAACACAGAGAGCUUGCUCUCGGGUGACGAGCGGCGGACGGGUGAGUAAUGUCUGGGAAACUGCCUGAUGGAGGGGGAUAACUACUGGAAACGGUAGCUAAUACCGCAUAACGUCGCAAGACCAAAGUGGGGGACCUUCGGGCCUCAUGCCAUCAGAUAUGCCCAGAUGGGAUUAGCUAGUAGGUGGGGUAACGGCUCACCUAGGCGACGAUCCCUAGCUGGUCUGAGAGGAUGACCAGCCACACUGGAACUGAGACACGGUCCAGACUCCUACGGGAGGCAGCAGUGGGGAAUAUUGCACAAUGGGCGCAAGCCUGAUGCAGCCAUGCCGCGUGUGUGAAGAAGGCCUUCGGGUUGUAAAGCACUUUCAGCGGGGAGGAAGGCGGUGAGGUUAAUAACCUCAUCGAUUGACGUUACCCGCAGAAGAAGCACCGGCUAACUCCGUGCCAGCAGCCGCGGUAAUACGGAGGGUGCAAGCGUUAAUCGGAAUUACUGGGCGUAAAGCGCACGCAGGCGGUCUGUCAAGUCGGAUGUGAAAUCCCCGGGCUCAACCUGGGAACUGCAUUCGAAACUGGCAGGCUAGAGUCUUGUAGAGGGGGGUAGAAUUCCAGGUGUAGCGGUGAAAUGCGUAGAGAUCUGGAGGAAUACCGGUGGCGAAGGCGGCCCCCUGGACAAAGACUGACGCUCAGGUGCGAAAGCGUGGGGAGCAAACAGGAUUAGAUACCCUGGUAGUCCACGCCGUAAACGAUGUCGAUUUGGAGGUUGUGCCCUUGAGGCGUGGCUUCCGGAGCUAACGCGUUAAAUCGACCGCCUGGGGAGUACGGCCGCAAGGUUAAAACUCAAAUGAAUUGACGGGGGCCCGCACAAGCGGUGGAGCAUGUGGUUUAAUUCGAUGCAACGCGAAGAACCUUACCUGGUCUUGACAUCCACAGAACUUUCCAGAGAUGGAUUGGUGCCUUCGGGAACUGUGAGACAGGUGCUGCAUGGCUGUCGUCAGCUCGUGUUGUGAAAUGUUGGGUUAAGUCCCGCAACGAGCGCAACCCUUAUCCUUUGUUGCCAGCGGUUCGGCCGGGAACUCAAAGGAGACUGCCAGUGAUAAACUGGAGGAAGGUGGGGAUGACGUCAAGUCAUCAUGGCCCUUACGACCAGGGCUACACACGUGCUACAAUGGCAUAUACAAAGAGAAGCGACCUCGCGAGAGCAAGCGGACCUCAUAAAGUAUGUCGUAGUCCGGAUUGGAGUCUGCAACUCGACUCCAUGAAGUCGGAAUCGCUAGUAAUCGUAGAUCAGAAUGCUACGGUGAAUACGUUCCCGGGCCUUGUACACACCGCCCGUCACACCAUGGGAGUGGGUUGCAAAAGAAGUAGGUAGCUUAACCUUCGGGAGGGCGCUUACCACUUUGUGAUUCAUGACUGGGGUG